rnacentral:lncRNA from 1 species
GUUUCAUUAGGAGGGGAAGAGAGACGUUAGAAAAGAGAAAAUGUCCAUUCAUCAUAGCCAAACUAGCCAAACUCUCAGGGGCUUCUAGAAGCAGAGCUGAGGCUGGGAGAUUAAUGCUGUCCUCAAAGUGAAGAGUCACCACUACUUGUCAAGUCAUAUCAUCUCUGCAGCCACGUGCAUUUUGUAAACUGGGAAGAAUAAACAGACAUUUCUGAC